UACAGAGGGUGCAAGCGUUGUUCGGAAUUAUUGGGCGUAAAGCGCGUGUAGGCGGCUUUGCAAGUCGGGUGUGAAAGCCCUCAGCUCAACUGAGGAAGUGCGCCCGAAACUGCAGAGCUUGAGUGCCGGAGAGGAUGGCGGAAUUCCCCAAGUAGAGGUGAAAUUCGUAGAUAUGGGGAGGAACACCGGUAGCGAAGGCGGCCAUCUGGACGGUAACUGACGCUGAGACGCGAAAGCGUGGGGAGCAAACAGG
rnacentral:rRNA from 1 species